rnacentral:rRNA from 1 species
UACGGAGGGUGCAAGCGUUAUCCGGAUUCACUGGGUUUAAAGGGUGCGUAGGCGGGUUGGUAAGUCAGUGGUGAAAUCUUCAAGCUUAACUUGGAAACUGCCGUUGAUACUAUUAGUCUUGAAUUCUGUUGAGGUGGGCGGAAUACAUCAUGUAGCGGUGAAAUGCUUAGAUAUGAUGUAGAACACCGAUUGCGAAGGCAGCUCACUAAGCAGACAUUGACGCUGAGGCACGAAAGCGUGGGGAUCAAACAGG